GACGAACGCUGGCGGCGUGCCUAAUACAUGCAAGUAGAACGCAGUUGCGAACGGGUGAGUAACGCGUAGGUAACUGCCUGGUAGCGGGGGAUAACUAUUGGAAACGAUAGCUAAUACCGCAUACUACCAGAUGGACCUGCGUUGUAUUAGCUAGUUGGUGAGGUAACGGCUCACCAAGGCAACGAUAGAUAGCCGACCUGAGAGGGUGAUCAACCCGACCGGGACGUGGACACGGCCCAGACUCCUACGGGAGGCAGCAGUGGGGAAUUUUCGGCAAUGGGGGGAACCGUGAGCGAGCAAAGCCGCGUGAGUGAGGAAGGUUUUCGGUUCGUAAAGCUCUGUUGUGAAGGAAGCGGUACUUAACCAGAAAGGGACGGCUAACUACGUGCCAGCAGCCGCGGUAAUAC
rnacentral:rRNA from 1 species